rnacentral:rRNA from 1 species
GAUGAACGCUGGCGGCGUGCCUAAUACAUGCAAGUCGAACGCAUAGCGAAAGGUGCUUGCACCUUUCAAGUGAGUGGCGAACGGGUGAGUAACACGUGGACAACCUGCCUCAAGGCUGGGGAUAACAUUUGGAAACAGAUGCUAAGACCGAAUAAAACUUAGUGUCGCAUGACACAAAGUUAAAAGGCGCUUCGGCGUCACCUAGAGAUGGAUCCGCGGUGCAUUAGUUAGUUGGUGGGGUAAAGGCCUACCAAGACAAUGAUGCAUAGCCGAGUGGAGAGCCUGAUCGGGCACAUUGGGACUGAGACACGGCCCAAACUCCUACGGGAGGAUGCAGUAGGGAAUCUUCCACGAUGGGCGAAAGCCUGAUGGAGCAACGCCGCGUGUGUGAUGAAGGCGUUCGGGUCGUAAAGCACUGUUGUAUGGGAAGAACAGCUAGAAUAGGAAAUGAUUUUAGUUUGACGGUACCAUAGCAGAAAGGGACGGCUAAAUACGUG